rnacentral:rRNA from 1 species
AUUGAACGCUGGCGGCAUGCCUUACACAUGCAAGUCGAACGGUAACAGGUCUUCGGAUGCUGACGAGUGGCGAACGGGUGAGUAAUACAUCGGAACGUGCCUAGUAGUGGGGGAUAACUACUCGAAAGAGUGGCUAAUACCGCAUGAGAUCCACGGAUGAAAGCAGGGGAUCGCAAGACCUUGUGCUACUAGAGCGGCCGAUGGCAGAUUAGGUAGUUGGUGGGAUAAAAGCUUACCAAGCCGACGAUCUGUAGCUGGUCUGAGAGGACGAUCAGCCAGACUGGGACUGAGACACGGCCCAGACUCCUACGGGAGGCAGCAGUGGGGAAUUUUGGACAAUGGGCACAAGCCUGAUCCAGCAAUGCCGCGUGCAGGAUGAAGGCCUUCGGGUUGUAAACUGCUUUUGUACGGAACGAAAAGCCCCGGGUUAAUACCCUGGGGUCAUGACGGUACCGUAAGAAUAAGCACCGGCUAACUACGUGCCAGCCGCCGCCGUAA